UUAAAGAGUGCGUAACAGCUCACUAGUCGAGCGGUCCGGCAUGGAUAAUAAUCGGGCAUAAGCAUAUUACCGAAGCUAUGGGAUUAAUUAAAUUAAUCGGUAGGAGAGCAUUCUAUCGGCGUAGAAGCUGAGUCGUGAGGCUUGGUGGAGCUUAUAGAAAAGAAAAUGUAGGCAUAAGUAACGAUAAAGGGGGCGAGAAACCCCCUCACCGAAAGACUAAGGUUUCCUCAGCCAUGCUAAUCAGCUGAGGGUUAGUCGGGACCUAACGCGAACCCGAAAGGGGUAGUGGAUGGACAAUGGGUUAAUAUUCCCAUACUUGCUCACACUAAAAAGGGGACGGUUCAAUGUAGCUACUGGAGACUGACGGAAUAGUCAAGGCCUAGCCUUCGGGCGAAGCUGCUGUAGUGAACUUGGAUCCAAGAAAAGCCGAAGUGAAGCAACCCGUACCAAAACCGACACAGGUGGUCGAGGAGAGAAUCCUAAGGUGCUCGAGUGAGUCGUGGCUAAGGAACUAGGCAAAAUAGUCUCGUAACUUCGGAAGAAGAGACGCCAUCAGCAAUGGUGGCCGCAGUGAAGAGGCCCAGGCGACUGUUUAUCAAAAACACAGGACUCUGCCAACUCGCAAGAGGACGUAUAGAGUCUGACGCCUGCUCGGUGUCGGUAGGUUAAGGGAGCCGGUGACCGCAAGGGCAGCUGGCGACCGAAGCCCCGAUAAACGGCGGCCGUAACUAUGACGGUCCUAAGGUAGCGAAGUUCCUUGUCGGGUAAGUUCCGACCUGCACGAAUGGCGUAACGACUUCCCAACUGUCUCAACCGCGAACUCGGCGAAAUUGCACUACGAGUAAAGAUGCUCGUUACGCGCAGCAGGACGGAAAGACCCCGUGACCUUUACUACAGCUUGGUAUUGGUGUUCGGUGUGGCUUGUGUAGGAUAGGUGGGAGACUGUGAAGCGGUGACGCUAGUUACCGUGGAGUCAUUGUUGAAAUACCACUCUGGUCACUCUGGAUAUCUAACUUCGAACCGUAAUCCGGUUCAGGGACAGUGCCUGGUGGGUAGUUUAACUGGGGCGGUUGCCUCCCAAAAAGUAACGGAGGCGCCCAAAGGUUCCCUCAACCUGGUUGGCAAUCAGGUGGCGAGUGUAAGUGCACAAGGGAGCUUGACUGUGAGACUGACAGGUCGAGCAGGGACGAAAGUCGGGACUAGUGAUCCGGCAGUGGCUUGUGGAAGCGCUGUCGCUCAACGGAUAAAAGGUACCUCGGGGAUAACAGGCUGAUCUUGCCCAAGAGUCCAUAUCGACGGCAUGGUUUGGCACCUCGAUGUCGGCU
rnacentral:rRNA from 1 species